UACGUAGGGGGCAAGCGUUGUCCGGAAUUAUUGGGCGUAAAGAGCGUGUAGGCGGUCCGGUAAGUCAGCUGUGAAAGUCAAGGGCUCAACCCUUGAAUGCCGGUUGAUACUGUCGGGCUAGAGUCCGGAAGAGGCGAGUGGAAUUCCCGGUGUAGCGGUGAAAUGCGCAGAUAUCGGGAGGAACACCAAUGGCGAAGGCAGCUCGCUGGGACGGUACUGGACGCUGAGACGGCGAAAGCGUGGGGAGC
rnacentral:rRNA from 1 species